CCUACGGGAGGCAGCAGUAGGGAAUAUUGGGCAAUGGGUGCAAGCCUGACCCAGCCAUGCCGCGUGGAGGAAGAAGGUCCUCUGGAUUGUAAACUCCUUUUGUCGGGGAAGAAGAGUCAUCUUGCGAGGUGAUGUGACGGUACCCGAUGAAUAAGCCACGGCUAACUACGUGCCAGCAGCCGCGGUAAUACGUAGGUGGCAAGCGUUGUCCGGAUUUAUUGGGUUUAAAGGGUGCGUAGGUGGGUUAAUAAGUCAGUGGUGAAAGCCGGUUGCUCAACAAUCAAAUUGCCAUUGAUACUGUUAGUCUUGAGAGAAGCGGAGGCUCAUGGAAUGGAUGGUGUAGCGGUGAAAUGCAUAGAUAUCAUCCAGAACGUCGAUUGCGAAGGCAGUGGGCUGUACUUUUUCUGACACUGAGGCACGAAAGCGUGGGGAUCAAACAGGAUUAGAUACCCUGGUAGUCCACGCUGUAAACGAUGCGAACUAGCUUUUCGGUUUAGGAUUGGGAGGCUAAGGGAAACCGAUAAGUUCGCCACCUGGGGAGUACGCCGGCAACGGUGAAACUCAAAGGAAUUGACGG
rnacentral:rRNA from 1 species